rnacentral:lncRNA from 1 species
UAAGCACAAACAAAAGCAAGUCCGAACAUUCACCCUUUCCUAAACUGAGCAACUGCUGGGUCUUUACCCAGAAGUUUUAUUCUCGCUCUAGUCUGCCCUUUCUAAAAAUUGAUUGAGAUAACCAAUUGGAAACUUUCCUUCCAAUCUAAUGCUAACCCCAGUUUUUUAGACAUUUUUCAAAUAAUUCAAGCAAAGACAAAAUAUUAUAGUAGGUUCUCUCUAAUACCAUCUCACUGAGGUACCCCUGAAUUGCUCCUGGUGUGGGCACUUCCUUGCCAUACGAAGAAGUAAACUCAACUUUUUCUACUGGGGGCAUGUUCAGCCAAUAUAGCUGGAAGACAUUGACAUCUCACAUCACAUCUGUCAAAGGUCAGCUUUGGACACUCAAUAAGUUCAGGAUAUUGUAA